rnacentral:rRNA from 1 species
GAAAUGCGAUACGUAAUGUGAAUUGCAAAACUCCGUGAUCAUCAAAAUUUUGAACGCACAUUGCGCUUCUAGGAUUUGCCUAGGAGCAUGCCUGUUUGAGUGUUCGUGAACCCCACUAGGCCACAGUCUUGUGAGCCUGAAUGUGGCUGUGUGCUGAGCUGCCUCGUGCAGUACAGCAGAUAGCUUAAGUGAGCGGUUGUUCUUUGAACGACGCCUUGCGUUUCUACGCAGCGUGUCUUGUGUUCUAGGAGGCCAACAUCUGGUAGAUACACCUAGUGUGUGUUGUAGGAUGUAGUGUUUCUGAGCAAGACUAAGCUGAGUCUAAGCGUGAAGUACUGUAGUGUAACUGCAGCGCUUUGGUUCUAUAAUCGAAUCUCAGAUUGGUAAGGCUACUCGCUGAAUUUAAGCAUAUAAUUAAGCGAAGGAAAAGAAAAUAACUAUGAUUCCCUC